rnacentral:rRNA from 1 species
CACGUAGGGGGCAAGCGUUGUCCGGAUUUAUUGGGCGUAAAGAGCUCGUAGGCGGUUCGGCAAGUCGGGUGUGAAACCCCCAGGCUCAACCUGGGGACGCCACCCGAUACUGCUGUGACUUGAGUCCGGUAGGGGAGCGUGGAAUUCCUGGUGUAGCGGUGAAAUGCGCAGAUAUCGGGAAGAACACCCGUGGCGAAGGCGGUUCUCUGGGACGGUACUGACGCUGAGACGCGAAAGCGUGGGGAGCGAACAGG